GGAGUGGCGAUAAAUGCAAGAGGAAACAGAAGAAUCGAGCAUUUUGCUACUUUUGUAGUAGCGUGCAAAGGCUGCCAGUGUGCGCCCAAUGUGGUAAACAAAAGUGUAUGCAGAAAACGGGAGAUUGUGUUAUAAAACACCCAGGACAGUUUUCAACGGGGAUGGCCAUGGUGGGGGCGAUCUGUGAUUUUUGCGAGGCUUGGGUGUGUCACGGGAGGAAGUGCUUGUCGACUCAUGCAUGCAGCUGCAUACUCCGGGAUGCUGUUUGCGCGGAGUGCGAACGAGGGGUCUGGGAGCAUGGUGGCGUGUGUUUAAGUGCUGCUUCUG